rnacentral:rRNA from 1 species
GCAUAUCAAUAAGCGGAGGAAAAGAAACCAACAGGGAUUGCCCUAGUAACGGCGAGUGAAGCGGCAACAGCUCAAAUUUGAAAUCUGGCUUCGGCCCGAGUUGUAAUUUGCAGAGGAAGCUUCUGGCGUGGCACCUUCCGAGUCCCCUGGAACGGGGCGCCACAGAGGGUGAGAGCCCCGUAUGGUUGGAUGCCUAGCCUGUGUGAAGCUCCUUCGACGAGUCGAGUAGUUUGGGAAUGCUGCUCAAAAUGGGAGGUAAAUUUCUUCUAAAGCUAAAUACCGGCCAGAGACCGAUAGCGCACAAGUAGAGUGAUCGAAAGAUGAAAAGCACUUUGAAAAGAGGGUUAAACAGCACGUGAAAUUGUUGAAAGGGAAGCGCCUGUGACCAGACUUGCGCCGGGCCGAUCAUCCGGUGUUCUCACCGGUGCACUCGGCCCGGCUCAGGCCAGCAUCGGUUGUUGCGGGGGGAUAAAGGCCCUGGGAACGUAGCUCCUCCGGGAGUGUUAUAGCCCGGGGCGUAAUGCCCCCGCAGGGACCGAGGUUCGCGCACCCGCAAGGAUGCUGGCGUAAUGGUCACCAGCGACCCGUCUUGAAACACGGACCAAGGAGUCAAGGUUUUGCGCGAGUGUUUGGGUGUAAAACCCGCACGCGUAAUAAAAGUGAACGUAGGUGAGAGCUUCGGCGCAUCAUCGACCGAUCCUGAUGUACUCGGAUGGAUUUGAGUAGGAGCGUUAAGCCUUGGACCCGAAAGAUGGUGAACUAUGCUUGGAUAGGGUGAAGCCAGAGGAAACUCUGGUGGAGGCUCGCAGCGGUUCUGACGUGCAAAUCGMUCCGUCAAAUCKGAGCAYGGGGGCRRAAGACUAAUCGAACCAUCUAGUAGCUGGUUACCGCCGAAG